GAUCAUGGCUCAGGACGAACGCUGGCGGCGUGCCUAACACAUGCAAGUCGAACGAGAAUCAAUGGAUGGAGUUUUCGGACAACUGAAGUUGAGGAAAGUGGCGGACGGGUGAGUAACGCGUGAGCAACCUGCCUUGGAGUGGGGGACAACAGAGGGAAACUUCUGCUAAUACCGCAUAAAGUGCCGUGAGGGCAUCCUCGUGGCACCAAAGAUUUAUCGCUCUGAGAUGGG
rnacentral:rRNA from 1 species